rnacentral:misc_RNA from 1 species
AGAGAGAUCUUUAAAAGAUUUCAGUUAGAGGUAGAAGAGAUGUAUUCUUGUUUUAGUACAACAAAGUUACAUGUUGAUGGGCAGGUGGUAAUAUUUUUGGUGAAGGAGCGUGUUUUGGAAGAGGGGAAUAGGAGAGAGAUACGGGACUAUGAAGUUCUGUACAACAGAGAAGCAGCAGAAGUUCGUUGCAUUUGUAGCUGCUUCAACUUCUAUGGAUAUUUGUGCAGGCACGCAUUGUGUGUGCUGAACUUCAAUGGUGUGGAAGAGAUCCCGUCAAAGUACAUUUUAUCACGGUGGAAAAAGGAUUACAAAAGGUUAUGUGCAUUAGAUGUUGAAUCUAGUUUUACCGAGUCCACUGAACAGGUUCAAUGGUAUAGCCAGUUGUAUAUAAGUGCAUUACAAGUUGUGGAAGAAGGGGUGAUUUCCCUAGAUCAUUAUAAAGUAGCCCUAAAUGCAUUUGAAGAGUCU